GACGAACCGUGCGAACGUUAUUCGGAAUCACUGGGCUUAAAGCGCGUGUAGGCGGGAGGGCACGUCCGUCGCUGAAAUCCCCCGGCUCAACCGGGGAACGGGCACGGAUACGACCUUCCUGGAGGGGCGCAGGGGGACCUGGAACUUCCGGUGGAGCGGUGAAAUGCGUUGAGAUCGGAAGGAACGCCCGUGGCGAAAGCGAGGUCCUGGACGCCUACUGACGCUGAGACGCGAAAGCCAGGGGAGCGAACGGG
rnacentral:rRNA from 1 species